rnacentral:sRNA from 1 species
UUGACAAAGCCAACAUUUUGAGAGAGAACUCAAUAAGAGAAGUAAUAAACCGAAGUUAAGUCAAGGAUCGAUGGAGAAGAAGCUUAUGAUCUUGUUGUGCAUCAUCUUCUUGGUGGAGGUGUUUUCAAUUCUUGGGGGAGUUGAUUGCAGAGCAUUGCGAACAGAGCAAACGACCGGCUGUGAUCAAACGACCGGCUGUGAUCAAACGACCGCCACCGUAGAGAGUGGUGGUUUUGGCGUUUUCUCGGGGGCGGCGAACGGUUCGAGAGACCAUCUUUUGAUGAGGAGCUUGGCUUUCCGGUUAGCCUCUGGACCGAGCAGGAAAGGCCGUGGACACUAGUGACCAUUGAUAUUGAUUUUUAUUUUAUUUUAUUUUUGCCUUUGCAUAAACUAUAUAUAACGAUUGUGUAUUUAAGUUUUAGUUUCAUUUCAUCGCAAAAGGGAAAAAAAACAUUUUUUAAAAGCAUUGAUUGAUUCAAUGCCAUGUAAUUCACUAAUCAGAGGCUUAGUUACUGGCUUUUUCGUUUGCACAAGUCGUUAUACAUGUAAAGGUUUGAUUUUUCUUGUUAAUGGAAUACAAA